rnacentral:rRNA from 1 species
UACGUAGGGGGCAAGCGUUGUCCGGAAUCAUUGGGCGUAAAGCGCGCGUAGGCGGCCCUGUAAGUCCGUUGUGAAAGUCAAAGGCUCAACCUUUGAAAGCCGAUGGAUACUGCAGGGCUAGAGUCCGGAAGAGGCGAGUGGAAUUCCUGGUGUAGCGGUGGAAUGCGCAGAUAUCAGGAGGAACACCAAUGGCGAAGGCAGCUCGCUGGGACGGUACUGACGCUGAGACGCGAAAGCGUGGGGAGCAAACAGG